rnacentral:rRNA from 1 species
UACGAAGGGGGCUAGCGUUGCUCGGAAUUACUGGGCGUAAAGCGCACGUAGGCGGCUUUCUAAGUCAGGGGUGAAAUCCUGGAGCUCAACUCCAGAACUGCCUUUGAUACUGGAGAGCUCGAGUCCGGAAGAGGUGAGUGGAACUGCGAGUGUAGAGGUGAAAUUCGUAGAUAUUCGCAAGAACACCAGUGGCGAAGGCGGCUCACUGGUCCGGUACUGACGCUGAGGUGCGAAAGCGUGGGGAGCAAACAGG